rnacentral:lncRNA from 1 species
AACUUUGAAUUUUAGAGAUGGAUUCUCUUGUAUGCCAGACCCCUGGGACAGAAUACAAUGAUGACAGGAGUACCAACCAGAUUUAGAGAAUUAAGUGUGUGCAACCAAGCAGAAGGUUUUCUGUCUCCUGCAGGGAGAGGUGACUUCUGUGUGAAAUUACUGCUGUCCAACCUUUCUGAUUGGCUGGAAGCCAAAUUCUGGCUUCUUCCUGGAAAGUUGGACCGCAGAAGGCUUAACUGAUUUUUGUUUUUAAAAAUAAAUUUAUUUUUGGAAAAAAUGUGAGACGUCCUUAAAGGUAGUAGCACUGCUAAUCGCCAGCUCUGACAGGUAACUGCUACAAGUGACAUCAUUCUCCUUGUCUUUACAAAAAGACCCCAGGCCCCAAACACUUGCAGUUGAUCCCCUGGGCUGACUUGUUUAUUCACUGUCUGCUGACCAUCCUUCAAGCAACAGAGAUCCCAGAUGAGUGUGCUCAGGCUGCAAUCCAGCACUUGGGAGGCUGAAGUAGGAAUCUCAAAGAGUCGAAGGCUAGUCUGGGCUACAGAGCAAAACCCUGUCUCAAAAUGUCAAAAACAAACAAACAAACAAACAAACUGGAGACUGGAUUCAAAUGAUCAGAUUGUCAGAAUUAAACCCACUUCCAGGAAGCUUUACACCGGGGGGAAGCACAAACAGCUGUACAGUGAGAGACAUUCUGUUCUUCACUUGGGACUUCACUUGCGCAGCACCCAUCUGAGAGCUGCUCUGGAUACUUUCAUACCAUGCCCUAUUUUUACCAUAAAACCCAGGGACAGAACCACCAGCUGUGGAAGCCAGAACAUCUGGAAUCAAGUUUCAAAGAAACUCCUUAGCUGGGAUUUACCCAGGAUUUUGGAUAGUUCAAGAGUGAUGUGAAUGGGAAGGUAGAGACAGAGGGAGAUGUAUAGUUCCCUCUUCUGCUCCAAGCUUUUCUACAAAACCUUUAUUCUAGUUUUAUUGAUGACUUCUAAGUCCUGUUAUCUUCCUGUCUUAGAACACAAUAAAACCCCCAAGAC